rnacentral:rRNA from 1 species
UACAGAGGUCUCAAGCGUUGUUCGGAUUCAUUGGGCGUAAAGGGUGCGUAGGUGGCGCUGUAAGUCGGGUGUGAAAUUUCGGAGCUUAACUCCGAAACUGCAUUCGAUACUGCGGUGCUUGAGGACUGGAGAGGAGACUGGAAUUCAUGGUGUAGCAGUGAAAUGCGUAGAGAUCAUGAGGAAGACCAGUGGCGAAGGCGGGUCUCUGGACAGUUCCUGAC